ensembl:lncRNA
CAGACAACAGGACUACUUUUUCAAGCGUAAGCAUACAGGGGUGACGUUAGCUGCUCGAGCGUUUACUAUAUAAACCGUUCGCUUUUACUGCAUAAGACAACUGGGUGCAGCAGAUUGACUCGUCGAGGCGUGUGGUAUUGUUCAAUGCAGUAGUUUUUUUUCUUUUCACAAUCGAUAGGAGACAGCAGUUCUUUAAAUAGUGAAGAGUAAUUUGUUUCUUUCAAACUAUUUUAGUUGUUUUAAGCAAUUAAUUGUUAAGCUAAAAGCGAAGCCUGUCAGUUUAACGGCAGCUAGCUAAGAUGCUAUCUCUAACCUAACUAAUAUCAGUGUUAUAACGUUAGCAUUAUUUUGAUGGUAGCGAGGAUAAUAUUCUGUCAAAAACGAACGUUACUUGUCAGAAUCAUAACGUGUUAGAUGUAUGAAGGAAUUUGGUGUUUUCAGGUUACGAUUAGUAACUAACGUAUAACAAGCUAUGUUAGGUAACCUUAUCUAAGUCAGCUAACGUAUACUUGCUAGCAACCCAGUUAGUUAUAAUUAACGUUAGCAUCGUCAGCGAGGCCUAACCAAAGACGAGCCUGAACUAUCAUUAGCUCGCUUAACUAACCCUUACGUCAGCUAUGUCGGCGAUCAAGGGCCAGGCGGUUAUACAUUACUUAUUAACGGUUGAUUGUAUCGUUAUUUUAAACGAAGGCAGCAGUGUGACGUGAACACAUUCGCUUGUCAUCCGAUUCAUGAGUUCGCAAACGUUAGGACUAAAAGGGUCAAGUUGUAUUAUGACGAGUAACAGAAUUUCUGUGUACACGAAAGCAAUGAUCUGUGUUCGAUAAGGGACACUAGCUACCUAACAAAUUGGUAACGUUAAUUUCCAUAUUUGGUAUGGGUAUGUUGCCUCACUGAAGUGAAGGAAUAGUACUGGAAUGUUCGAGACAGCUGCGUGAGUCAGUCAAAAUGGCGGCGCGUCUUUGUAAGGAAAAAGUGGUGCAGUCACUAAGCAAUUGUGUAGUCUGAGGCAGUAGAACUUGCAGAAGAGGCUGUUGAAAUUCAGAGCAAUCAAUUUGUUAUGGUUUUUUUAAAACGUUUUUUUUUUUUUUUUCGGGAGACGGUUAACAAGCUAUACAUACUCAGCACUGAAUGGCACCAUCAAGUGGUGGCCUAUGGACUUUUUCGAGUUUAACGACAUGCAACAUAAAGCGGUGCUAGCAAUUAUUUUUAAUUUUUGUUUUUAUCCAUUGGUUUUUAUUUUGUUUAUACAUUUUGGCGGUAGCUGAAGAUUUGCCCUGCAGAUGUUAUUUGCUGUUUCUGGAGAGAAAGGACUGAGUUCAUUAGACCAACAUUACUCUCCAUAUGGACUUAGUUAGUGGUGAGCGUUGAUCUAGAAGAAUUUCAGGAUCAGAUGUCAGGACCGGGGACGACCAAAGGGAGCCAGAGGACCACCGGGCGGGAGCAGAGGGAGAGCAAGGCAGAGCCUGAGGGGGAGCCAGGGAGGAGCAGAGGGAGGAAACCAGGCAGGCACAGAUCCAAGCGAGGAGGAGGAGGAAGUGUCCACAACCUGGGGGAAUCGAGUGUCGCAAGGCAGAGUAGUCACCCUCGUGCAGAUGGUCCAGUGGGGCAGCAGGCCAGAGUGAACCAAAGAUGGGUCCCCAGCGACUUCAGUGGCAGGGAGAAGGGCGUACAAGCAGAGCUAAAAAGGGUCCCCCGCUAGCUUCACAAGUCAUAGGAGGAAGGUGUUGGGUUUGCGUGGUGUUUAACGCGUUGAUAUUCCCCCGUGUCGCCUGUCCCCUUGUUGGCUGAGUGGUUUCAACUGAGAUGAGUGCUGUGGUUUGUGUGCUGGGAAAACGACUGUCCCUCAACAUCCGCAACCUGGCAGCGUUUUGGCGUAGUCCCUCCACUGGAAAAGGCGUCUUUGUCCCUUUUGAAAUUCAGUAGGUUGUCUUAGAAGGCACCAUCUCCGGAGAUCGUGAGCAGUGGAAGUUCGUCCAAUCGUCUUUGACUUCUAUCUCCCACUUCAUCUGUCCAUCUACAUUUACACUGAGGCAGCUUCCUAAUCUGGUAAACAUGAGCUUUGAGUUUGCAUGAGUUUACAAUAAAGGGAGUAACUAUUCCCUUUUUAUUGCUCAUAGUUUCAAUCUUGGAUUUUUUUAAACAUAUAUAUUGAGUAAAAUUCGAAGUGAGGUCAUACUGUAGCGGUCACAUUUGAGUAUUGCACAUGUUGAGUCAAAGGUGGUCUGUAGGGGUUUGGGAGGGGAAAACGCGUUUUUCGAGUUCUUUUCCCUACAGGCUCAACUGGCUUGGGCGACCACACCCAGCGCAAGUUCCCACAGUAGCAAGAAUCCACACACUAGCUUGCACACCAGUACUCUUUGACCCAAAGGAUCAGGAUGUGCCUGAAACAGCAGCACUGUUCGAAUGUAGGAAGGUAUUUGCAAAGGUCUUCUAGAGAUUUGGAUCUUACUCCAUGAAAAUCUGAAUAAUUGUAUCUGUUUAUUGGGGAACCAUGUCAUCUUGCUGUGGGAGGGUGGGAUGUGGGAUGUUAAUCCAAAUGUCUUCCUUAGACUUCACAGCUCUAUUGUAAAAGCGGGUUUUCAAAAGAAAUGGCGUGAGUAGUCGUGUUUGGGAGCGGAACCACCAGUAUGCCUUUCAGCCACACUUCGAGCUAUAGCAAGUCCGUCAUGACACCAGCUCUUCGCCGUGACUGGGGUAACACGAGGCACAAGAUCAAAAUCUGAAAACGUAAAGCGAUUUGAGAUUUCAACCUGUGAGGUGGCUUUGUUCAAUUUAUCCAAUAGUAUUCUUGUUGCUGACCGGUGUUUGUGGCCAAAAAAAAACAAUGGGGUGUGGGGGGCCUGGGAACUACUUGAUUUUGACUUUUUCAGAUGUAUUUAAAACUACCCGCCCUCACUAAGAUCUGGUGGUCCCUCCAUUGCCUACCACGGAGCACAACUGAUGCGUACAGGCUCAAGGCGUUGUAACCUUGUUGGUAUGGCAAGUAAUCUGUUAGUGCUUUUCAUAAAUUAUGUGCUUGAUCUACUUAAUGUAUGUAUUUGAGUGCCUUAUGAAACUUCCUUGACUUGUAGUUGCUGUAAUGAAUAAAUUGUGUUGUGGGGUUAUAUUGCAUAAUCUGGGGUGGGAUGGUGCAAGGUGUCUUUCUCCCCCUUUGCAUUUUUCAGUGUACCAGUGCUUGCAUACUCCAGCCCUACAGGAGGUCUAGCUCUUAAAAUGUAACGGUUUGCUUAUUCCAUCAAACUUCAGUCUCGGAUCACGUAAGCUUGUUAACCGCUGCUUAUCUUGUUUAAUUACUUGCGUGUUGUAAAAAAAAAAAAAUCCUGUAAAGGGUUACUUUGCCAGUUGGCUUUUCAUGCAUUGUAAGAAUGUAUAAUAAGUUAUCUGUAAAGAAUAUUUGGUAAAUAAAUACAUAGUACGUUGUGAUGGAAUACGUUCUGGUAUGCAUUUGUUUCUUGGGGUGUUUGGGGCCUAUGGGGGAUUCUCUUGUACUUUUUCAGGUGUUGUAAACUUGGGAGCUUUUUAAGCACAAGACCAGGGCUUGAUGGCGUUCUUUCCGAGUGGAAUUGAAGGCAGAUAAGUCAUGAUGGUUCAUGUUUCGUGGGAAGUUCAUGUACCCAGCUAGUCUUUGCUAAACAAAAAAAUGAAGAUCAACUUAUCUUGAUAACAAUUUUUUGAAGGGUUAUUGGACACUUAAUAUAGUAAAGACAUUUUAACCAUGUUGAUUUGUAGAAUGGAUCUCUUGAAUGUCCCGUAUAAAGCAUAAUGGGACUCAAAUCUAAAGAUUUGAGAGGGAAACCCAUGGAGACCCUUUUUGAGGUAUUAUUGUUGUCUUGGUCUGGGUGGGGCUAGGGGUGUCUCUUUUUGAUCUUGCAGAGUCGUACAGUGCCACAGUGAAGAUUGCCAUCGCUCGGGUGUGUGUUGACGACAGGAGCAACCAGUCCUUUGAACUCCUCUUGAUGGAACCGCACAGUUUGUGCUCUUUUGAUAGAUCGUGUUAAGUACAGUCAUUUAUCCAAAUUGUCAUUUGGUAGACGUAGCCUCAGUCACAAGCACCUGUGCAACUGUGCAGGAGCGUAGCUAAAAUGACUAAUGCUUUGCAAAUGCAUAGCAUGUAUUGAGUCACGCAACUGUGUGAUACCCAAAGUUGAUGUGACUGAAAAGCUGUGCAACUGUGCAGCUUUAAUUGGUUUGGUCAUUGUUCUUAAACUUGAAUGUUGACUACAUAGCUUUUUAGCCAAAUGUCAGGUAGGGGGGGGUAGAGGGUCUUUUGCACUCUUUCUUUUCACUUUUGCAGAUAACGCAAACCCAUGCUGCUGCGCGUAUGAGUGGUGUGAAGUCCCCUUGUGGAGCACAUUGAAACCAGGUGUUUUGUCAUUUCAUAAGAAAUGUUCCUGGAAUGUCAGUCUGGUUCAAUGGAAACACUACAAACUGCUUCUUUUAUUCUACAUUUCAUAACAUUCGUCUUUGAACAGUGCCUAUAAGCAUCCCCAUUGCUCAUAACCCUGAGAGCACAUUUAACUCUGAGUUAGUUCCUGCAAAUGUUGGUGUUUUGUUCUAUGUGUUUGUGGUGGGAAUGUGUGUAGUAGCUUCUUAUUUCAGAUCACUCAUCUGUCCACUCCAUUUGCAACUGCACCUGAAUGAAAGGCUGUCUGGGAGCUGUCGGCAAAUGAAUGAGUCCUCACUGACUGAUGACCGACCCUGUGUGCGCUUGAGCUUAGUCCUGACCUUCGAAGUCCUUCAUCCCGAAGUCCUUCUCUGCGUGCUGUGUGUCUAUCCUGUUUCCCACUCCUUCGUUUCUUAGGCCAAAAUUCCAAUAGGAGCCCCACAUUUCUCAUGUGUGUGUCUGGGAACGCCCUAACCGUGUGAUGAAGCACUGGGAAAUCCUUUCCUGUCCAAUCAAGAGCUACACGCUUGUCUCACUGCUAAAUGAACCUCAGAUUGCUGUUUCUUGGUGUAUCAAGUGAGGUCCUUUUAAUCUUAAUUUUCACGGGUACUUGUUGCAAUUUUAACUUCAUGUAUUGCAUGAACCUCGGCUUUGCAUAACCCUGAUGGAGAAAUAAUUUUAACAGCUUAAUGUUAAGUCAUUUCAUUCUAUAUACCACAUGCUAUAGGGUGGGUUUUCUUGGGUUUGUAUUUGGGGUGGGGUGGGGCGCAAACCAAACUGUCUUCUUUGCAGAUAGUGUUUCGAUCCCUCAAAAAAGCACAACUGACCCCGCUUGCAACUGAUCAGACUGGAUGUGUGAGUGGAUGCGCGUCUGUAUCUAAGCAGCAGUUCAAACAAUUGUCUUCUGUGAGCAUCAGCAGUUUGAAGAUUGUGUUGCCGUUGCUUGGUUUGUACUAUACAACCAUAGCUUGCUACAGUAAUGUGUCUGUUUUGCUUUUCUUAAUACAUGUAUAUAAAAAGGGGUUUUCCGAUGAGAUUGUGGGGGGAGGGGGGUUGGGGGCUGUAAACUAUCCUUUCUCUUGUCUUUGCAGCUUUCCAAGCUAAAGUCAACGUACGUCUCACUUGAGUGUUGACCGAAGCUUCGCUGAGCAGGCAAUGCUAUCCAUUUCAGAUUUGAAAGGUCUUUUGUAAACUACUUGAGCAAAACAAUUUAAUUGAGAAGCAAACAAAGUUCUUGGGAUUCGCUGGGGGAUGGGGAAACCUGCAGUGUUUUUUUUGUAGUUCUAGGCUCAUCGGAAAGUCAACUUGCCAGUGUUGAAUACUAGUGUGGCACUUGGUGGGGUUUGUAUUUUUAUUUAAUUGGUUCAUAAUCAGUUCUUUUAUACCGUAACUUAAUAUGGGGGGUGGGGGGUGGCAUGUAAACUUGUUUUCUCUUUGCAGUUUACAGCUUUAGGUACAUGCAGUGCGUCAAAUCCAAGGGAUCAAUUCAAAUCUUGCUGAUGAAUCAAAAGUGAUAAGUGGCCAUUUGAUCAAUUCAUCUCUGGUGUCCUAACAUGGAAAACAAAUUGUCUGAUGCCCUUAAGCAGUACUGGAGAAGUCGAUGUACGGGUUGUGCAAGGGAUGGGGAAACCUGCAGUUUUCUGUUUGUAGUUUCAGGCCACUCAGGGAGCCAAGACGAGUUGCGCAGCAGGUGCCAGGUUUUUCUUUUCCUGGAG